rnacentral:rRNA from 1 species
GACGAACGCUGGCGGCGCGCCUAACACAUGCAAGUCGAACGGAGCUGAGAGAAGCUUGCUUUUCUUAGCUUAGUGGCGAACGGGUGAGUAACGCGUGAGUAACCUGCCCUGGAGUGGGGGACAACAGUUGGAAACGACUGCUAAUACCGCAUAAGCCCACGAUCCGGCAUCGGAUUGAGGGAAAAGGAUUUAUUCGCUUCAGGAUGGACUCGCGUCCAAUUAGCUAGUUGGUGAGGUAACGGCCCACCAAGGCGACGAUUGGUAGCCGGACUGAGAGGUUGAACGGCCACAUUGGGACUGAGACACGGCCCAGACUCCUACGGGAGGCGGCAGUGGGGGAUAUUGCACAAUGGGGGAAACCCUGAUGCAGCGACGCCGCGUGGAGGAAGAAGGUUUUCGGAUUGUAAACUCCUGUCGUUAGGGACGAUAAUGACGGUACCUAACAAGAAAGCACCGGCUAACUACGUG